rnacentral:rRNA from 1 species
UAAUACGAAGGUCCCUAGCGUUGCUCGGAAUCAUUGGGCGUAAAGCGCACGUAGGUGGUUCUAUAAGUCAGAUGUGAAAGCCUCGGGCUCAACCCGAGAAGUGCAUUUGAUACUGCAGAACUUGAGUACGGAAGAGGUGAGUGGAAUUCCUGGUGUAGUGGUGAAAUACGUAGAUAUCAGGAGGAACAUCGGUGGCGAAGGCGGCUCACUGGUCCAGUACUGACACUGAGGUGCGAAAGUGUGGGGAUCAAACAGG